UGGGGAAUAUUGCACAAUGGGCGCAAGCCUGAUGCAGCCAUGCCGCGUGUGUGAAGAAGGCCUUCGGGUUGUAAAGCACUUUCAGCGGGGAGGAAGGCGGUGAGGUUAAUAACCUCAUCGAUUGACGUUACCCGCAGAAGAAGCACCGGCUAACUCCGUGCCAGCAGCCGCGGUAAUACGGAGGGUGCAAGCGUUAAUCGGAAUUACUGGGCGUAAAGCGCACGCAGGCGGUUGAUUGAGUCAGAUGUGAAAUCCCCGGGCUUAACCCGGGAAUUGCAUCUGUUACUGGUCGGCUGGAGUCUUGUGGAGGGGGUUGGAUUCCCAUGGGUAGCAGUGAAAUGCGUGGAGAUGUGAGGAAUACCGGUGGCGAAGGCGGCCCCCUGGACAAAGACUGACGCUCAGGUGCGAAAGCGUGGGGAGCAAACAGG
rnacentral:rRNA from 1 species